UUUGUCUUAGUUGUGAGCCGCAAUGAACACAAUCAUACACCAAAUCCCUAACAAUUGAGCAUUCCCCAUCUCCUACCUAAGGUGUAUUCACCUCCUUUUUUCUUCACAUUCAAAUUCAAUUUCACUCAUGGAGGAAGAUGUUCAGCAGAGCUUCUGUUUCUGCAAAUCCGGUAAUUUCUCUCAAUUUUUGAGCUUCUACUGAUAUUUCCCACAAUAGAUUUCAGCUGUGCUAAAUAAUUAGAUGAUGCUAUUAACUUGUUUUGCGCAUUAGUAAACCUGUAUUUUUAUUGCACUUAAUGUGUUCGAGGAAAUGCAUAAGAUGGAUGUUUGUUAAGGACUCAAUUCCUUAACGGUGAUCGGCGGCGGAUUGCUCGGCGAUCAAUACUAACUUCCGGCGUCCUGAGAUAGGAUCGGCGGAGAUUCUAGCUUCUGGCUGUGCGCGGAAUUCCUCCGUCGGACAGCGAUGAAACUAGGGAUAGAGUAAUUCUCGUUGGUUUGUGGGAGAAAGUAAUAUUUCUAUUCAUUCAUUGUUUCAUUGUUGGAUGAUUAAAUAUGAUAACAAGCUCUCCUAUUUAUAAUACUAGAAUACUACCCUAACUUAUUGAAUAAAAAACUAAGAUAUGGAAAAGAUUUGGUGAAAUAAAAGAUGACUAAAUAAUUGUGAUUUCCUAAGAUAUGGGAUCGUAUCAAUGUUCCUGUGAAUACAUUUCUGUUGAUAUCUUUUGCGUUGUGUAGACUUUGAUUUUGCUAUUCCGGGCAUCUUCUUCAAGAGUGGUAGCGAACCAGAUAUCCCAACGAAAGGAAUCCUUUUUUGGUAGAUAAGGGUGAUGAUGUUGUUAAAUUGUUCGAAAAGCUUGUGGAUCUGAAACUGUGUGAACCUAAUGAAGUUACAAUGGAAUAAUGACCGAUGACUCCUGAUAAGGUUGGCAUCUCGAUUUUUCUAUGACACUUCUUUUGAAGGAGAUUCGAAAGAAGUAGUAAGAAACUGAUGCCAAGUCUAAUAAUGUGUUGAUUGACGUGUUAUGCUGAGAAAUUAUUCGAAAAGUUUUUUGGAUUUCUGAUGGGAGUCUAACUAUGUUAUUAUUAUGGACUCAUGGUGAUGUGUGGACUUUGCAAAGCUGGACAAAUAGUUAUAGCUCACGAUCUGCAUCAUAUAUAUUUGCACUGCGUAGCUACACAAAUAAAGUUUGUGUUGAUCAACAAAGUCCAACAAUUUGUGGGGAUUCCUUCUUCAUUAAAGGAUUGUUUUUAGAUGAUAAGGUUUGAUCCUUUCUUCAUUAAAGGAUUGUUUUUAGAGGAUAAGUUUGAUUGUUGUUUAGAGGAUAAGGUUGGCGAUUAGAGACUGUAUGAGCCUAAUGAUGUUAUGAUAUGAUAGUGAUAUAUGCGCAUUGCAAAUGUUGCACAAAUAUUUGUAGCCCACAAGUAUUUGAUGCUUUGGUUGCAAUUCUAAGUUUGGAGACACUCAAAUGUAGUAUCACAAAUCAUGUGGUUAAGUAUAAUUAUGUUGUUAUUGCAUCUCCUGCUUUGAUGUUGCCUUAUGGACUGGAAAACAUACUUUUGAGUGGCAUGGACUUUUUCUAAGAAUACUUGGAUGUCAUUGGCUCUUUGCUUGUGAUAUCAUCCCUAUGCGUUCGGUGGUUCAAAGUGGGAGGUUUUUCGAGACUUUAGCUUCUUCCAAUGGAGAUAGUGAUUUGGUGCAAUGGAAACCGAGAUUUGGAUGCCUUGCUUUAGCUACCUAAGCAAGCAUAAACACUGUUGUACACCCGAAGAGAUCCAUUGGCUGUGUGUAUGCUGUUCUUAUGUUGAGAAAUCGAUGAGCAUCAAGCUUAAAAGGUGUGGAACCUAAAUAGCAGAUCCAGAAAGGUUACAUAGAUGAGGAGUAAGAGUGGUUUACCAUUUACUUUCAUGAACUGCUGUUGUGGUGAUUCAAACUCUCGUCUUGAGGAGAUAUCUUACCAAUUAAGUUGUACUUCAUGGUUUAAUCUUAAACUAUGUUCUCAUAAGAUAUUGUUCUGAUAGCUUAUAAAAAGUUAAGGUGUUUAAAUAGCAACUAUUGAUAUUUAUAUAUUUAUCGUCAUUGAAAAUGUCUGAACUCUUAAAUUUUAAUAAAAAUUGAAAUAUUGUCCUUUUUGCUA